rnacentral:misc_RNA from 1 species
GGAGCCAUCCCCGGCUGUGUGCAUCAUCCACACUGCAAAAUGAUUCCCGCGUGUUGCAGAAAUACAACAAAAGAAAUGGUUUCUGUUCCAUCUCAAUAUCCAAACGCUUGUCGAAUAGUCUAAAAAUAAUAUGGACGUGCUGAAAGUUUUGUACUUAAUAACGAAACGUUUAUAAUUAGCACUAUAGAUAAUCUGUUUCUGUCAAAACUAUAUAAGCAUGAUACUUGUAGCUGUUUGUCUGCAGACAUCGUCGUCCAGAUUUGAAUAUAUUG